rnacentral:lncRNA from 1 species
GUUUAGGCGCUGUUGUCAUUUCCUGUUAGCCAAAUGUUUUUUCUUUCACGGGUUUGAGAAUCGUUGUGUGGCACAAAGACGUAGUUUGGAAUAACGCAAAUAAUUGUGAAGACUGUGGGUGAUACUGUCGACUGCUCACAGCCGACUUAAGAGCCAGAAGAAGAAACCUGGGAGACGUCCAGAUACACCGGAUCAACAACAGGCCACUCUAUCAUCAGUUGGAUAAACACCCAUGUAGUAUGCAAAGACUGAAGGCCAGACAUGUUGGAGCAAGAUUUGGCUAAGCUUUACAAGGGAUUCAA